AGGAAAAGAAACUAACAAGGAUUUCCUCAGUAGCGGCGAGCGAACAGGAAAGAGCCCAGCACCGAAUCCCGCGGUUCCGCCGCAGGGAAUUGUGGUGUUCGGGAGGAUCCGCUUAUCCCUUGGCGUCGCGCCGCGUCCAAGUCCAUCUUGAACGAGGCGAUUCAUCCGCAGAGGGUGCCAGACCCGUAGCGACCGAUGCGCGCCUCGGGAGGAUCUCUCCUUAGAGUCGGGUUGCUUGAGAGUGCAGCUCUAAGUGGGUGGUAAACUCCAUCUAAGGCUAAAUACAACCACGAGACCGAUAGCGAACAAGUACCGUGAGGGAAAGUUGAAAAGAACUUUGAAGAGAGAGUUAAAGAGUACGUGAAACCGUUCAGGGGUAAACCCGAGAAACCCAAAAGUUCGAACGGGGAGAUUCAUCGUCAGCGCCGCUGGCUUCGCGUCGGUCGGCGAUGCCGGCGCGGGUCCGCCGUGUCUCUCGCCACGGCUCCCGCGCUGGCACGCCGCCGUGCGCCGAUGUCCGGCGCGCGUCGUCGUGCACUUCUCCCCCAGUAGGACGUCGCGACCCGCUGGGUGCCGGUCUACGGCCCGGGACGGACGGCUGCAACGUCGCCGGUGAAACGGCACGCGGCAAGCCCCCGGUCGCCCGGCCGGCUGCCCGGCGGUAAGAUGGACGGUACGAGGCCGCGCCCCCGGGCGCGUCGAGCCCGUCGCAAGCGAGUGCCACGGUCGCCGGAGGUACGGACCCAGUGCCGUCCCCGGUCCUGGCCCGCUGUUGGCAGUACGGUGCACCUUCGACAGGCCUGCGAGGCGCGCGCGCGGUGUCCCGCCCGUCGCGAGACGGGGGAGGGCCCGCGCGCGCGGCACAUACCGGUCGGCGACGCUACCGCUUUGGGUACUCUCGGGACCCGUCUUGAAACACGGACCAAGGAGUCUAACAUGUACGCGAGUCAUUGGGACUUGCGAUACCCAAAGGCGCAAUGAAAGUGAAGGUCGGCCCUCGCCGGUCGACCGUGGGAGGAUGGGCCGCGUCGCGAUGCGGCCCCGCACUCCCGGGGCGUCUCACCCUCAUCGCGAGGAGAGGCGCACCCAGAGCGUACACGUUGGGACCCGAAAGAUGGUGAACUAUGCCUGGUCAGGACGAAGUCAGGGGAAACCCUGAUGGAGGUCCGUAGCGAUUCUGACGUGCAAAUCGAUCGUCGGAACUGGGUAUAGGGGCGAAAGACUAAUCGAACCAUC
rnacentral:rRNA from 1 species